rnacentral:rRNA from 1 species
GACGAACGCUGGCGGCGUGCUUAACACAUGCAAGUCGAACGGAAAGGCCCUGCUUGCAGGGUACUCGAGUGGCGAACGGGUGAGUAACACGUGGGUGAUCUGCCCUGCACUUCGGGAUAAGCCUGGGAAACUGGGUCUAAUACCGGAUAGGAGCCACUUUUAGUGUGAUGGUUGGAAAGUUUUUUCGGUGUAGGAUGAGCUCGCGGCCUAUCAGCUUGUUGGUGGGGUAAUGGCCUACCAAGGCGGCGACGGGUAGCCGGCCUGAGAGGGUGGACGGCCACAUUGGGACUGAGAUACGGCCCAGACUCCUACGGGAGGCAGCAGGGGGGAAUAUUGCACAAGGGGCGCAAGCCUGAUGCAGCGACGCCGCGUGGGGGAGGACGGCCUUCGGGUUGUAAACUCCUUUCGCUAGGGACGAAGCUUUUUGUGACGGUACCUAGAGAAGAAGCACCGGCUAACUACGUG